AAGUAAGACAGAGUAAUUUCCAAUUAAUCAUUGACAAAGUCCUUACUUA
rnacentral:tRNA from 1 species